rnacentral:rRNA from 1 species
AGGUAACGGAGGCGCUCAAAGGUUCUCUCAGUACGGUCGGAAAUCGGACGACGUGUGUAAAGGAAAAACAGAGCUUGAUGGCAAGAUAUCCAGGUCGAGGAAGGAUGAAAAUCGGACUUAGGGAUCCGGUGGUUCGGCGGGGAAGGGCCAUCGCUCAACGGAUAAAAGCUACCCGGGGGAUAACAGGCUUAUCUCCCCCAAGAGUCCACAUAGACGGGGAGGUUUGGCACCUCGAUGUCGGCUCAUCACAUCCUGGGGCUGUAGUAGGUCCCAAGGGUUGGGCUGUUCGCCCAUUAAAGUGGUACGCGAGCUGGGUUCAGAACGUCGUGA